rnacentral:rRNA from 1 species
CAGCCGCCACGGUAAAACGUAGGUGGCAAGCAUUGUCCGGAAUUAUUGGGCGUAAAGGGCUCGCAGGCGGUUUCUUAAGUCUGAUGUGAAAGCCCCCGGCUCAACCGGGGAGGGUCAUUGGAAACUGGGAAACUUGAGUGCAGAAGAGGAGAGUGGAAUCCCACGUGUAGCGGUGAAAUGCGUAGAGAUGUGGAGGAACACCAGUGGCGAAGGCGAUUCUCUGGUCUGUAACUGACGCUGAGGAGCGAAAGCGUGGGGAGCGAACAGGAUUAGAUACCCCUGUAGUCCCUGUCUCUUAUAC